rfam:Glossina austeni unplaced genomic scaffold Scaffold356, whole genome shotgun sequence.
UACCGUAUAGUCUAGGGGUUAGGACGUCGGAGAAUUACUCCGAAGGCCCGGGUUCGAUUCCCGGUACGGUUG